rnacentral:rRNA from 1 species
UACGUAGGCAGCAAGCGUUGUUCGGAGUUACUGGGCGUAAAGGGUGUGUAGGCGGUUCUUUAAGUUUUGUGUGAAAUCUCCCAGCUUAACUGGGAGGGUGGCAUUGAUACUGCGGGGCUAGAGUACAGAUGAGGUAGGCGGAAUUGACGGUGUAGCGGUGAAAUGCUUAGAUAUCGUCAAGAACACCUAUAGCGAAGGCAGCUUACUAGGCUGUAACUGACGCUGAGGCACGAAAGUGUGGGGAUCAAACAGG